AGCGAACGCUGGCGGCAGGCUUAACACGUGCAAGUCGAGCGGGCCUUUCGGGGUCAGCGGCGGACGGGUGAGUAACGCGUGGGAACGUGCCCUCUGGUUCGGAAUAACUCAGGGAAACUUGAGCUAAUACCGGAUACGCCCUUUUGGGGAAAGGCUUGCUGCCGGAGGAUCGGCCCGCGUCUGAUUAGCUAGUUGGUGAGGUAACGGCUCACCAAGGCGACGAUCAGUAGCUGGUCUGAGAGGAUGAUCAGCCACACUGGGACUGAGACACGGCCCAGACUCCUACGGGAGGCAGCAGUGGGGAAUAUUGGACAAUGGGCGCAAGCCUGAUCCAGCCAUGCCGCGUGAGUGAUGAAGGCCUUAGGGUUGUAAAGCUCUUUUAUCCGGGACGAUAAUGACGGUACCGGAGGAAUAAGCCCCGGCUAACUUCGUG
rnacentral:rRNA from 1 species